AGAGUUUGAUCCUGGCUCAGGAUGAACACUGGCGGCGUGCUUAACACAUGCAAGUCGAACGAAGCACCUGAGAAUGAUUCUUCGGAUGAAGUCUCUUGUGACUGAGUGGCGGACGGGUGAGUAACGCGUGGGUAACCUGCCUCACACAGGGGGAUAACAGUUGGAAACGACCGCUAAUACCGCAUAACCCGCUGGUGCCGCAUGGCACUGACGGAAAAGAUUUUAUCGGUGUGAGAUGGACCCGCGUCUGAUUAGCCAGUUGGCAGGGUAACGGCCUACCAAAGCGACGAUCAGUAGCCGGCCUGAGAGGGUGAACGGCCACAUUGGGACUGAGACACGGCCCAGACUCCUGCGGGAGGCAGCAGUGGGGAAUAUUGCACAAUGGGGGAAACCCUGAUGCAGCGACGCCGCGUGAGUGAAGAAGUAUUUCGGUAUGUAAAGCUCUAUCAGCAGGGAAGGAAAUGACGGUACCUGAUUAAGAAGCCCCGGCUAACUACGUGCCAGCAGCCGCGG
rnacentral:rRNA from 1 species